GAUGAACGCUAGCGGGAGGCUUAACACAUGCAAGUCGUGGGGCAGCACGGGGUAGCAAUAUCCUGGUGGCGACCGGCGCACGGGUGAGUAACGCGUAUGCAACCUACCCAGUACAGGGGGAUAGCCCGGAGAAAUUCGGAUUAAUACCCCAUAAUGAUAUAGAGAGGCAUCUUUUUAUAUUUAAAGCUACGGCGGUACUGGAUGGGCAUGCGUAAGAUUAGCUAGUUGGUAGGGUAACGGCCUACCAAGGCUCCGAUCUUUAGGGGUCCUGAGAGGGUGAUCCCCCACACUGGUACUGAGACCCGGACCAGACUCCUACGGGAGGCAGCAGUGAGGAAUAUUGGUCAAUGGGCGCAAGCCUGAACCAGCCAUCCCGCGUGAAGGAAGAAGGCGCUAUGCGUUGUAAACUUCUUUUCCGGAGGAAUAAAAUUUUGUACGAGUACAGGACUGAAGGUACUCCGGGAAUAAGCAUCGGCUAACUCCGUGCCAGCCGCCGCCGUAACAC
rnacentral:rRNA from 1 species